rnacentral:rRNA from 1 species
GAUCCUGGGCUCAGGAUGAACGCUAGCGACAGGCUUAACACAUGCAAGUCGAGGGGCAGCACAGGGUAGCAAUACUUGGGUGGCGACCGGCGCACGGGUGAGUAACGCGUAUGCAACUUACCUAUCAGAGGGGGAUAGCCCGGCGAAAGUCGGAUUAAUACCCCAUGAAACAGGGGUCCCGCAUGGGAAUAUUUGUUAAAGAUUCAUCGCUGAUAGAUAGGCAUGCGUUCCAUUAGG